rnacentral:rRNA from 1 species
AAUCAACGCUGGCGGCGCGCUUAACACAUGCAAGUCGCACGAGAAAGUGGAGCAAUCCAUGAGUACAGUGGCGUACGGGUGAGUAACACGUGGGUAAUCUACCUCUUAGUGGGGAAUAACUCUGGGAAACCGGAGCUAAUACCGCAUAAGCCUGGAAAGGGAAAGCAGCAAUGCGCUGAGAGAGGAGCCCGCGGCCGAUUAGCUAGUUGGUAGGGUAAAAGCCUACCAAGGCAAUGAUCGGUAGCCGGCCUGAGAGGGCACACGGCCACACUGGCACUGAAACACGGGCCAGACUCCUACGGGAGGCAGCAGUGGGGAAUCUUGCACAAUGGGGGCGAACCCUGAUGCAGCGACGCCGCGUGAGCGAUGAAGCCCUUCGGGGUGUAAAGCUCUUUCGGCGAGGAACGAUAAUGACGGUACCUGAAGAAGAAGCUGCGGCUAACUACGUG